GGGUUGUGAGGUUAAGCGACUAAGCGUACACGGUGGAUGCCCUGGCAGUCAGAGGCGAUGAAGGGCGUGCUAAUCUGCGAUAAGCGCCGGUAAGGUGAUAUGAACCGUUAUAACCGGCGAUACCCGAAUGGGGAAACCCAGUGUGAUUCGUCACACUAUCAUUAACUGAAUCCAUAGGUUAAUGAGGCGAACCGGGGGAACUGAAACAUCUAAGUACCCCGAGGAAAAGAAAUCAACCGAGAUUCCCCCAGUAGCGGCGAGCGAACGGGGAGGAGCCCAGAGCCUGAAUCAGCAUGUGUGUUAGUGGAAGCGUCUGGAAAGGCGCGCGAUACAGGGUGACAGCCCCGUACACAAAAGCGCAUGUGCUGUGAGCUCGAUGAGUAGGGCGGGACACGUGGUAUCCUGUCUGAAUAUGGGGGGACCAUCCUCCAAGGCUAAAUACUCCUGACUGACCGAUAGUGAACCAGUACCGUGAGGGAAAGGCGAAAAGAACCCCGGCGAGGGGAGUGAAAAAGAACCUGAAACCGUGUACGUACAAGCAGUGGGAGCNNNNNNNNNNNNNNNNNNNNNNNNNNNNNNNNGGCGUUAAGUUGCAGGGUAUAGACCCGAAACCCGGUGAUCUAGCCAUGGGCAGGUUGAAGGUUGGGUAACACUAACUGGAGGACCGAACCGACUAAUGUUGAAAAAUUAGCGGAUGACCUGUGGCUGGGGGUGAAAGGCCAAUCAAACCGGGAGAUAGCUGGUUCUCCCCGAAAGCUAUUUAGGUAGCGCCUCGUGAAUUCAUCUCCGGGGGUAGAGCACUGUUUCGGCUAGGGGGCCAUCCCGGCUUACCAACCCGAUGCAAACUGCGAAUACCGGAGAAUGUUAUCACGGGAGACACACGGCGGGUGCUAACGUCCGUCGUGAAGAGGGAAACAACCCAGACCGCCAGCUAAGGUCCCAAAGUCAUGGUUAAGUGGGAAACGAUGUGGGAAGGCCCAGACAGCCAGGAUGUUGGCUUAGAAGCAGCCAUCAUUUAAAGAAAGCGUAAUAGCUCACUGGUCGAGUCGGCCUGCGCGGAAGAUGUAACGGGGCUAAACCAUGCACCGAAGCUGCGGCAGCGACACUGUGUGUUGUUGGGUAGGGGAGCGUUCUGUAAGCCUGUGAAGGUGUGUCGUGAGGCAUGCUGGAGGUAUCAGAAGUGCGAAUGCUGACAUAAGUAACGAUAAAGCGGGUGAAAAGCCCGCUCGCCGGAAGACCAAGGGUUCCUGUCCAACGUUAAUCGGGGCAGGGUGAGUCGACCCCUAAGGCGAGGCCGAAAGGCGUAGUCGAUGGGAAACGGGUUAAUAUUCCCGUACUUGGUGUUACUGCGAAGGGGGGACGGAGAAGGCUAUGUUGGCCGGGCGACGGUUGUCCCGGUUUAAGCGUGUAGGUGUGUGUUCCAGGUAAAUCCGGUUCACUUUAACACUGAGGCGUGACGACGAGGCACUACGGUGCUGAAGCAACAAAUGCCCUGCUUCCAGGAAAAGCCUCUAAGCAUCAGGUAACAUCAAAUCGUACCCCAAACCGACACAGGUGGUCAGGUAGAGAAUACCAAGGCGCUUGAGAGAACUCGGGUGAAGGAACUAGGCAAAAUGGUGCCGUAACUUCGGGAGAAGGCACGCUGACACGUAGGUGAAGUGAUUUACUCAUGGAGCUGAAGUCAGUCGAAGAUACCAGCUGGCUGCAACUGUUUAUUAAAAACACAGCACUGUGCAAACACGAAAGUGGACGUAUACGGUGUGACGCCUGCCCGGUGCCGGAAGGUUAAUUGAUGGGGUCAGCGCAAGCGAAGCUCCUGAUCGAAGCCCCGGUAAACGGCGGCCGUAACUAUAACGGUCCUAAGGUAGCGAAAUUCCUUGUCGGGUAAGUUCCGACCUGCACGAAUGGCGUAAUGAUGGCCAGGCUGUCUCCACCCGAGACUCAGUGAAAUUGAACUCGCUGUGAAGAUGCAGUGUACCCGCGGCAAGACGGAAAGACCCCGUGAACCUUUACUAUAGCUUGACACUGAACAUUGAGCCUUGAUGUGUAGGAUAGGUGGGAGGCUUUGAAGUGUGGACGCCAGUCUGCAUGGAGCCGACCUUGAAAUACCACCCUUUAAUGUUUGAUGUUCUAACGUGGACCCGUUACCCGGGUUGCGGACAGUGUCUGGUGGGUAGUUUGACUGGGGCGGUCUCCUCCUAAAGAGUAACGGAGGAGCACGAAGGUUGGCUAAUCCUGGUCGGACAUCAGGAGGUUAGUGCAAUGGCAUAAGCCAGCUUGACUGCGAGCGUGACGGCGCGAGCAGGUGCGAAAGCAGGUCAUAGUGAUCCGGUGGUUCUGAAUGGAAGGGCCAUCGCUCAACGGAUAAAAGGUACUCCGGGGAUAACAGGCUGAUACCGCCCAAGAGUUCAUAUCGACGGCGGUGUUUGGCACCUCGAUGUCGGCUCAUCACAUCCUGGGGCUGAAGUAGGUCCCAAGGGUAUGGCUGUUCGCCAUUUAAAGUGGUACGCGAGCUGGGUUUAGAACGUCGUGAGACAGUUCGGUCCCUAUCUGCCGUGGGCGCUGGAGAACUGAGGGGGGCUGCUCCUAGUACGAGAGGACCGGAGUGGACGCAUCACUGGUGUUCGGGUUGUCAUGCCAAUGGCACUGCCCGGUAGCUAAAUGCGGAAGAGAUAAGUGCUGAAAGCAUCUAAGCACGAAACUUGCCCCGAGAUGAGUUCUCCCUGAGACUUAGAGUCUCCUGAAGGAACGUUGAAGACGACGACGUUGAUAGGCCGGGUGUGUAAGCGCAGCGAUGCGUUGAGCUAACCGGUACUAAUGAACCGUGAGGCUUAACCUUACAACGCCGAAG
rnacentral:rRNA from 1 species